CGGGUGCUCUUGGGAGUUAUUCAGCUCUGCAGAGGCUUACUGUCGAAUAUUGCCCAGCCAUAGAUAUGAAUCCUCUUUACAAACGGCACCAACAGCGCCUUGACAGCCUUGAAGAAAGAGACUUGUCACAUGCUCAUUCAAGAAAUCUCCACGAAGGCCCUAAACUGAAGGACCCAAAAACCUGGAAAUAUGCUAUUCCUGGACAUCGGCGUUACUGAAGUCCCAAACAGAGAUGUGCAUACUGCAAGAGAAUGGAUGCAUUAUGCUAUCUAGCAUGGAACAACGAUGGGCAGGCGCAGAGCAGAGGGCAGGGCAGAGCAGGCAGCACAUUGGUGGUGAGGCAGAGAGGACGUGUGUUGGUUGUGUGUGGGAUGGUAUGGCCUUUGCGAAGUGCUUCUGUUCCGUCGUGGACGGACUCUCUGAACUGCGAUAAAUUGCUUGAUGAAAUAGCAGCUACUCUGCUCUACACUUGAUUUCCAUUUUGAAAGCAAAAGGUGCAUGCGUUCAGAAUGUGAAGGCACGGUAGGCAAGGAGCAAUUGGCAUGAAGAGCUGGUGUAACAUAAACACAUACAUGCUGCCGCCUGCCAGCCUGCUGCUGCUCAAUGCUUUGGAAUAAUCUUUAUCUCAACACCAACAUGGUUAUAGAUUUGCCUCCAGGUAAAGCAACAAAUUCACAGCAUAGAUAGUUUCUCUGCUCUUCGUCUUGCUAGUUUU